rnacentral:rRNA from 1 species
UUCCGGUUGAUCCCGCCGGACCCGACUGCUAUUUGGGUGAGGAUAAACCAUGCGAGUUGUAUGGGAUACCUAAAUUUCCCAUAGCAAACUGCUUAGUAACACAUGAUCAACUUGCCCUAUGGAGAAAUAUAACCUCGGGAAACUGAGGAUAAUGCUUCAUAGUUGAAUAGGCUUGGAAAAGUUUUUCAAUGAAAGGGAUAAGAAAAAUGGUUCUUAUCUGCCAUAGGAUAGGAUCGUGCUCGAUUAUGGUUGUUGGUGAGGUAACGGCUCACCAAGCCGAUAAUCGAUAGGGGCCGUGAGAGCGGGAGCCCCAAGAUGGGUACUGAGACAGCGACCCAGGCCUUACGAGGCGCAGCAGGUACGAAACCUCCGCAAUACACGAAAGUGUGACGGGGUUACCCAAAGUGUUCUUAUAGAACUGUGGCAGGUGAGUAAUGUCCCCUGCUAGAAAGGAGAGGGCAAGGCUGGUGCCAGCCGCCGCGGUAAAACCAGCUCUUCAAGUGGUCGGGAUAAUUAUUGGGCUUAAAGUGUCCGUAGCCGGUUUAGUAAGUUCCUGGUAAAAUCAGGUAGCUUAACUAUCUGCAUGCUAGGAAUACUGCUAUACUAGAGGGCGGGAGAGGUCUGAGGUACUACAGGGGUAGGGGUGAAAUCUUAUAAUCCUUGUAGGACCACCAGUGGCGAAGGCGUCAGACUGGAACGCGCCUGACGGUGAGGGACGAAAGCCAGGGGAGCGAACCGGAUUAGAUACCCGGGUAGUCCUGGCCGUAAACGAUGCAUACUAGGUGAUGGUACGGCCAUGAGCCGUGUCAGUGCCGUAGGGAAACCGUUAAGUGUGCCGCCUGGGAAGUACGGUCGCAAGGCUAAAACUUAAAGGAAUUGGCGGGGGAGCACCACAAGGGGUGAAGCCUGCGGUUCAAUUGGAGUCAACGCCGGGAAUCACUAGUGCGGCC